AGUAGGUGGCGGUAUGCAAGCUGUUUGCAAUCCGCCAUUCAACGUAGAAGAAGAAGUCACGACAGAGGAAAGAAAGUGGCACCGAAGAGUCGCAGAGGAAAUGUUUUUUGUUUGUUUUUUUUUACUAAAAGUUCAACCGCAUUCAUUUCAUUCAGGUGAUCUGAUGCAAUUGUGUUCCUGCGAGGCACUGGGGGUUCAAGUACAUAAUUGGCCUUGGUCGCACAGCUGAACCGCAUUGAUACAACUACCACCUACCAAAAACUGACCACCAGUCUUUGUUUUCUGUUUAAUUAACAAAAAUAAAAAUGAGUUCAUAAAAUACA